CCGAUCAUGUGACGGUGCGUGCAGGUCAGCGAGCUGUUUGUGGACAGUAAAAGUAAACUGGAGCAGUGCGCCUCCGACCUGCUCGACAACCAGCAGAGACUGGAGGAAACCAGCCGAGACCUGGAGGCCACCAAAGACAAGCUGGCCGAGGAGGAGUUCGUCAGUGGCGAAUUGCGCACAGCCCAGGAGAAUCUCUACAGUGCCGCCACGCAGCUGCUGAACACGGCGGACGCCAGCACCAGCGACGUCUUGGGUCUGCACGCCAAGCUGGACAGGAAGAAGCUGGUAAUGCUGAGACUCUCCCUGAGCAUGCGG